CACGGGGGGAGCAAGCGUUGUUCGGAAUCACUGGGCGUAAAGGGCGUGUAGGCGGUCGAGUAAGUGGAAUGUGAAAUGCCCCGGCUCACCCGGGGACCUGCAUCCCAAACUGCUCGGCUUGAGUAUGGGAGAGGAUGGGGGAAUUCCUGGUGUAGCGGUGAAAUGCGCAGAUAUCAGGAAGAACACCCGUGGCUAAGGCGGCUCUCUAGUACGGUACUGACGCUGAGACGCGAAAGCGUGGGGAGCGAACAGG
rnacentral:rRNA from 1 species